rnacentral:rRNA from 1 species
CCUACGGGUGGCAGCAGUGGGGGAUAUUGCACAAUGGGGGGAACCCUGAUGCAGCGACGCCGCGUGAGCGAUGAAGUAUUUCGGUAUGUAAAGCUCUAUUAGCAGGGGAGAAAAUGACGGUACCUGACUAAGAAGCACCGGCUAACUACGUGCCAGCAGCCGCGGUAAUACGUAGGGGGCCAGCGUUAUCCGGAUUUACUGGGUGUAAAGGGAGCGUAGACGGUAGUGCAAGUCUGAGGUGAAAGCCAAGGGCUCAACCUUUGGACUGCUUUGGAAACUGUGCUGCUGGAGUGUCGGAGAGGCAAGUGGAAUGUCUGGUGUAGCGGUGAAAUGCGUAGAUAUUAGGCAGAACACCGAUGGCGAAGGCAGCUUACUGGACGAUGACUGACGUUGAGGCACGAAAGCGUGGGGAGCAAACAGGAUUAGAUACCCUAGUAGUC